rnacentral:lncRNA from 1 species
AUUUGAAUCUCUGCCUGAGGAAAGCCGAGCCUGGGCAUCGUCGUGGAGAUUAUCUGAUUGUUCUUUGGAUUUAAUGCCGUGAGAAAUCUUGCUUUAAUCACAGCACCUGGCUUCCAGCGAGGAUUCUGCUCUUAGUUGAUUUGCAUGCUGGGGUACGGUGGCACACAGAAGGUCAAAUGACGUGUCCGAGGUCUCAAGAUUCAGAGGGGUAAGCCAGCUUCCAGCCUACACUGCUCAGAAUUGUUUUUCUCAGCUCUGUCAACGCCUCUGAGCUCCUCGCUGCAAGCAAGAGGACAGGGUCACCCCGAGCC